rnacentral:tRNA from 1 species
GCGCCCGUAGCUCAAUUGGACAGAGCAUCUGGCUUCGGACCAGAGGGUUGUAGGUUCGAGUCCUGCCGGGCGCG